GACGUAGGGGGCAAGCGUUGUUCGGAAUUAUUGGGCGUAAAGCGCUCGUAGGCGGGACAGGAAGUUCGUGUUGAAAGACCUCGGCUCAACUGAGGGACCGGCUCGAAUACUCUUGUUCUUGAGGCAAUCAGAGGGUGAUGGAAUUCCGGGUGUAGCGGUGGAAUGCGUAGAGAUCCGGAAGAACACCAGUGGCGAAGGCGGCCCGCUGGGCAGUGGCUGACGCUGAGGCGCGACAGCGUGGGGAGCAAACAGG
rnacentral:rRNA from 1 species